rnacentral:rRNA from 1 species
GAUGAACGCUGGCGGCGUGCCUAAUACAUGCAAGUCGAGCGAACAGACGAGGAGCUUGCUCCUCUGACGUUAGCGGCGGACGGGUGAGUAACACGUGGAUAACCUACCUAUAAGACUGGGAUAACUUCGGGAAACCGGAGCUAAUACCGGAUAACAUGCUGAACCGCAUGGUUCAACAGUGAAAGACGGUCUUGCUGUCACUAAUAGAUGGAUCCGCGCCGCAUUAGCUAGUUGGUAAGGUAACGGCUUACCAAGGCAACGAUGCGUAGCCGACCUGAGAGGGUGAUCGGCCACACUGGAACUGAGACGCGGUCCAGACUCCUACGGGAGGCAGCAGUAGGGAAUCUUCCGCAAUGGGCGAAAACCUGACGGAGCGACGCCGCGUGAGUGAAGAAGGUCUUCGGAUCGUAAAACUCUGUUAUUAGGGAAGAACAAAUGUGUAAGUAACUAUGCACGUCUUGACGGUACCUAAUCAGAAAGCCACGGCUAACUACGUG